rnacentral:lncRNA from 1 species
AGACAGGGUCUUGCUAUGUUGCCCAGGCUGGUCUCAAACUCUUGGCCUAAAGGGACCCUCCUACCUUGAGCUCCUGAGUGGCUGCGAUUACAGACUCCGGACACUGCACCCGGCUCCAGGAGGCAUGAGGAGGUGAGAGAUGGAAAGAAUGCUGUCUGUCAUUUGGAGUCAGAAGGAAAAGAAGGUUGAGGGUCUGCCAGCUCUGCUCUAGUGGUUUUUUCCUGUUUCACCUUUUACAAAAUCGAGAUAAUCGUUUCUACUUGGUAGCGAUAUUGUGAGGUGUAAAAUGGAUUAAUACAUGCAAAAUGCUUAAAGCAACUUCUGGCAUACGGUGAUCUCUCAACCAAUCCAUUGUUAUUUUAUUAUUAUUAUUUUUUUGAGACAGAGUUUUGCUCUUGUUACCCAGGCUGGAGUGCAAUGGUGUGAUCUCGGCUCACUGCAACCUCUGUUUCCCGGAUUCAAGCGAUUUUCCUCCUCCUGAGUAGCUGAGAUUACAGGUGCCCACCACCACACCCAGCUAAUUUUUUGUUUUCUUUUGUUUUUUGUUUUUUUUUUUUGAGACAGAGUCUCACUCUGUUGCCCAGGCUGGAGUGCAGUGGCACGAUCUCGGCUCACUGCAAGCUCUGCCUCCCGGGUUCACACCAUUCUCCUGCCUCAGCCUCCCCAGUAGCUGGGACUACAGGCGCCCGCCACCACGCCUGGCUAAUUUUUUGUAUUUUUAGUAGAGAUGGGGUU